AUACGGAGGAUCCGAGCGUUAUCCGGAUUUAUUGGGUUUAAAGGGUGCGCAGGCGGCCAUUUAAGUCAGCGGUUAAAUCGUGGGGCUCAACCCCAUUCUGCCGUUGAUACUGGGUGGCUUGAUUGCGGUCGAGGUUGGCGGAAUUCGUUGUGUAGCGGUGAAAUGCAUAGAUAUGACGAAGAACACCGAUUGCGUAGGCAGCUGACCAGACCGCAAAUGACGCUCAUGCACGAAAGUGCGGGGAUCGAACAGGAUUAGAUACCCUGGUAGUCCGCACAGUAAACGAUGAAUACUUGUUUUCGGCGAUAUAAUGUCGGAGGCAAAGCGAAAGCGAUAAGUAUUCCACCUGGGGAGUACGCCGGCAACGGUGAAACUCAAAUGAAUUGGCGGU
rnacentral:rRNA from 1 species